rnacentral:rRNA from 1 species
CCUACGGGAGGCAGCAGUGAGGAAUAUUGGUCAAUGGGCUUACGCCUGAACCAGCGAAGCCACGUGAGGGAAGACUGCCCUAUGGGUUGUAAACCUCUUUUGUCAGGGAGCAACGCCGGCUACGUGUAGCCGGACUGAGAGUACCUGAAGAAAAAGCAUCGGCUAACUCCGUGCCAGCAGCCGCGGUAAUACGGAGGAUGCGAGCGUUAUCCGGAUUUUUUGGGUUAAAGGGGUGCGUAGGCGGAAUGCCAAGUCAGCGGUAAAAGCGCGGGGCUCAACCGCGCUCCGCCGUUGAAACUGGCGUACUUGAGUGGGCGAGAAGUAUGCGGAAUGCGUGGUGUAGCGGUGAAAUGCAUAGAUAUCACGCAGAACACCGAUUGCGAAGGCAGCAUACCGGCGCCCAACUGACGCUGAAGCACGAAAGCGUGGGUAUCGAACAGGAUUAGAUACCCCUGUAGUC